rnacentral:rRNA from 1 species
UGGGGGAUAUUGCACAAUGGGCGAAAGCCUGAUGCAGCGACGCCGCGUGGGGGAUGAAGGCUUUCGGGUUGUAAACCUCUUUCGCUAUCGAACAAGGCCCGCUUAGGGUGGGUUGAGGGUAGGUGGAGAAGAAGCGCCGGCUAACUACGUGCCAGCAGCCGCGGUAAUACGUAGGGCGCGAGCGUUGUCCGGAAUUAUUGGGCGUAAAGGGCUUGUAGGCGGCUUGUUGCGCCUGCUGUGAAAACGCGGGGCUUAACUUCGCGCGUGCAGUGGGUAAGGGCAGGCUUGAGGGUGGUAGGGGUGACUGGAAAUCCAGGUGUAGCGGUGGAAUGCGGAGAUAUCUGGAGGAACACCGAUGGCGAAGGCAGGUCACUGGGCCAUUACUGACGCUGAGGAGCGAAAGCAUGGGUAGCGAACAGG